GGGAGCAGUGUGAGUCGAGAGGUUCAUGCACUGUUCUGCGAGGGGCUGGCGGGGAAGUUCCGCUGGUCUACUCUCC
rnacentral:ncRNA from 1 species